UCUCGAUAGCGUAAAAGUUAACUUAAUGUUGUAUGGAGUCGGAAUGUUUGCCUACGUUGGCCGCUAGGGGCGCUGUUCCAAUGCAUACAAAUUCGAGUUAACUUUUACGCUAUCGA
rnacentral:pre_miRNA from 9 species